rnacentral:snoRNA from 1 species
CUGCUGUGAUGAUUUUCUUAGGACACCUUUGGAUUAAACAUGAAAAGAAACUUUGGUCCUGAGCAGC